rnacentral:lncRNA from 10 species
GGUUGCCUGGUGAUUAUGGAAUAAGCAGCGGACUUACAGACACUCAGCGUCCAGGCGCACCAGGCCACCACAUCCCAGACAUGAGUACCUGUGCAAAAUGCAUUCAUUCCUCCAUCUUGGACGAGUUUACUGAGCACCUGUGAUGUGCCAGGCACUAGGGGUGCUGCAGCGGAAGAGCUAAGCAUUGAGGGAGACCAGAACUGCCUUCUGAAUGCCAUUAUGACUUGACUCAGCUGGGAACCACGAGAGGACGAGAUGACAUCUCUUCAGGAUGGUGUAGAGACGUGGGCGGAGUGUGCAGGGCUGGCGUGCAAGGGGUGGGGACACGUUGCAUCCAUGGUGCUGUUUGUGCAGGUGGCCUCCAGGAGGGCAGUUUCCAGAGAUGAAUUUCCUUCCCCUUGCCCAGCCCACCACUGCCCAGCCCUGUGGGCUCUGAGGCUGACGGAGAGAGACCUGGUAGGUCACCUCGUCCCUUGUCCCUGGGAAACUCCAUGUUACCAGCAUGUUAUCAGCAUGGCUCCGAAUCCUAUAUCCACCCUCCAGCCACACCCCGGGACACUCUGGAUCGAAGCCACCCAGCGUCAGAGCUUGGACGAUCAAGGUGGACCUACCCGCUCAGAAAGACAGUGGCGCUUCUGUCAAGGGAGACCUCAACGACCUUCCUCUGAAAAGAAAAAUGUCCUUGCAAGUAGGUAAAUGA